rnacentral:rRNA from 1 species
GAUGAACGCUGGCGGCGUGCCUAACACAUGCAAGUCGAGCGAACAGACGAUGAGCUUGCUCCUCUGACGUUAGCGGCGGACGGGUGAGUAACACGUGUAUAACCUACCUAUAAGACUGGGAAAACUACGGGAAACCGGCUCUAACACCGGAUAAUAUAUUGAUCCGCGUGGGUCAAUAGAGAAAGACGGCUUUGCGGGCACUAAUAGGUGGUUCCGGGCCGGAUUAGCUAGUUGGUACGGUAACAGCUUACCAAGGCAAGGAUGCGUGACCGACCGGAGAGGGGGAUCGGCCACACGGGAACUGAGACGCGGUCAAGGCUCCUACGGGAGGCAGCAGUAGGGAAUCUUCCGCAAUGGGCGAGAGCCUGACGGAACGACGCCGCGUGAGUGAUGAAGAUCUUCGGAUCGUAAAACUCUGUUAUUAGGGAAGAACAAAUGUGUAAGUAGCUAUGCACGUCUUGACGGUACCUGGUCAGGAAGCCACGGCUAACUACGUG